GACGAACGCUGGCGGCGUGCUUAACACAUGCAAGUCGAACGGAAAGGCCCGGCGUUUGUGGGGUUCUCGAGUGGCGAACGGGUGAGUGACACGUGAGUAACCUCCCCUUGACUUUGUGGUAACUUCAGGAGACUGGGGCUCAUACCGCGGAGGAUCUCCUGCUGCAUGGUGGGGGUUGGAAAGAUUCGGCGGUUGGGGCUCGAUUCGAGGCUUAUGCGCUUCUUUGGGGGGUAGUGGCUUACCAAGGCUUUGACGGCUAGGCGGCCUGAGAGGGGGGACGGCCACAUUGGGACUGCGAUACGGACCAGACUCCUACGGGAGGCAGCAGUGGGGAAUAUUGCACAAUGGGCGGAAGCCUGAUGCAGAAAUGUUGCGUGCGGGAUGCUGGCCUUCGGGGUGUAAACCGAUUUCGACUGUGACGAAGCGUGAGUGACGGUAAUUGGUAAAGAAGCCACGGCUAACUACGUG
rnacentral:rRNA from 1 species